rnacentral:ncRNA from 2 species
UGCGCAUACGGUGAUGGAUUUCCACCGCGAACCGCCGAAGCUUCGUGCUUUGCGCUGAUGAUUCCUACUGAGCG